GACGAACGCUGGCGGCGUGCUUAACACAUGCAGGUCGAACGGAAAGGCCCUGCUUUUGUGGGGUGCUCGAGUGGCGAACGGGUGAGUAACACGUGAGUAACCUGCCCUUGACUUUGGGAUAACUUCAGGAAACUGGGGCUAAUACCGGAUAGGAGCUCCUGCUGCAUGGUGGGGGUUGGAAAGUUUCGGCGGUUGGGGAUGGACUCGCGGCUUAUCAGCUUGAUGGUGGGGUAGUGGCUUACCAUGGCUUUGACGGGUAGCCGGCCUGAGAGGGUGACCGGCCACAUUGGGACUGGGAUACGGACCAGACUCCUACGGGAUGCAGCAGUGGAGAAUAUUGCGCUGUGGGCCGAAGCCUGAUGCAGCAACGCCGCGUGCGGGAUAACGGCCUUCGGGUUGUAUACCGCUUUCGCCUUUGACGAAGAGGGCGUGACGGUAAUGGGUAAAGAAGCACCGGGUAACUAGGUG
rnacentral:rRNA from 1 species